AGCGAACGCUGGCGGCAGGCCUAACACAUGCAAGUCGAGCGCCCAGCAAUGGGAGCGGCAGACGGGAGAGUAACACGUGGGAACGUACCUUUCAGUUCGGAACAACCAAGGGAAACUUUGGCUAAUACCGGAUACGCCCGAAAGGGGAAAGAUUUAUCGCUGAAGGAUCGGCCCGCGUCUGAUUAGCUUGUUGGUGAGGUAACGGCUCACCAAGGCGACGAUCAGUAGCUAGUCUGAGAGGAUGACCAGCCUCACUGGGACUGAGACACGGCCCAGACUCCUACGGGAGGCAGCAGUGGGGAAUAUUGGACAAUGGGCGCAAGCCUGAUCCAGCCAUGCCGCGUGGAUGAUGAAGGCCUUAGGGUUGUAAAGUCCUUUUAACGGGGAAGAUAAUGACGGUACCCGUAGAAUAAGCCCCGGCUAACUUCGUGCCAGCCGCCGCAGUAAUAC
rnacentral:rRNA from 1 species